ACUAUUGUGCAUUUUACGAGUGUCUUUUGGCACUUGCGUGACAACUUGUGACUAUAUUACAAGGUUUCAGGUCACAGAUUCGGAUUAUUCUAGUGUGAGCUUGGGGUGAAUGCAAUCUUAAAUCUGUAAGGCUUGCUUUUGUAGGACAACUUGUGUGAUAUGUGGCCAUAAAUAUAACAAUUCAAUUGAAAGAAAGGUUUGGAACCUACCACUUGCUAGGUCUCAUGGGCAGCUUAGGUGCCAAAAUCAUCCAGAUAAAAUGAUGUUAGCCGCUCAAUCUCAGUAUGACUUGGAUGUUGUGAAAUCUUAAGCCUGAAGCCCAAGACGCUUAUGCCUCGAGAGGUAUGUCUCUCUACUACACCCCAAAAAGUCUUAAGCCUUUUCUUAUUUCAUUAACUACUUAUAUAAAAAUAAAAAUAAAAACCCAUUAAACUACUGUCAUAUCUCUUUUUCCAUUUUUUUUUCCCUUCUGAUUUUUGUUUUUGGGUUGGAGGGGUUAGGAGGUAGUAGUUCUUUUUCAUGGAUUAGGUUUGGUUGUUUUCUCAUCUUCCUCUCUUUCUUUUCAAUCAUUUUCUUUUCCUUUCUUUUUGUCUAGCUACUUAUUAAUUUUCCUUUCGUAUUUGUUUUCCUAUAUGUUUUUGAUGAGAGCAAACGGUGAGUUGGAGUUUUCUUUGAUCAUCGCCACACUCUGGACAACCAAUCAAUCGCUCCGAUUGUCUUUCUAAAAAUCCCAGCAUUUCGAGGUUAUGAUUAAAAAUUUGAAGCAAGUAGUGAACGUGGUUUUGAAUUCAUUCCAAGAUCCUCAUCCUCGAGUGUGAUGGGCAACUAUUAAUGCAAUUGGACAGUUGUCUUCAGAUUUAGGCCUAGAUUUGCAAGUUCAAUAUCAUCAAUGUUUGCUACCAGCUUUGGAUGAUUUUCAGAAUCCCCGCAUCCAGGUUAGUUCUUUUGGUGCUUUGACAAUUGUAAAUUUUAGAUGGUUACAAUUGAUUUUUUAUCUUGUCCUUGGUCCUGCAAAUAUCAAUGGCAUGAUUAAAUCUGGUAUGUAUUUGGUGAGUCACUUUUAGGUAUUUUGCUUUUACUUUUUACUUAUAUUUUCUACUUUCAAGGAUUUAUAUUGACAAGUUUGGUAGUCCCUGAUA